rnacentral:misc_RNA from 1 species
UCCGAGUUGACCCCGGCAGUCUCCCAUGAGUCCCCGGCACGACCCGCUGGCAACAUAGGAUAAGGGUUGCGCUCGUUGCGGGACUUAACCCAACAUCUCACGACACGAGCUGACGACAACCAUGCACCACCUGUGUACGAGUGUCCAAAGAGAACCCCAUCUCUGCAGGUCCACGGGUGAUGUCAAACCUUGGUAAGGUUCUUCGCGUUGCGUCGAAUUAAGCAACAUGCUCCGCCGCUUGUGCGGGCCCCCGUCAAUUCCUUUGAGUUUUAGCCUUGCGGCCGUACUCCCCAGGCGGAGUGCUUAAUGCGUUAGCUGCGGCACGGAGAGGGUUGAAGACCUCCCCACACCUAGCACUCAACGUUUACGGCUGGGACUAC